rnacentral:rRNA from 1 species
AAUGGUUUUAUAUUUUAAAUUCCUUUAAAAAAUCAAUUUAAGGGAAUUUAUAUUUUAAGUAAGAAUACUUAAAUAAACCAAGGGGACGAUAAGACCCUAAAAGUUUUAUAUAAAUUAUUACUAAAUUGUAAAUUAUUUAGCAAAUAUAAUUAAUUUAUAAUUAACUGGGGUAGUUAAAAUAAAUAAAUUACUGUAAUAAAAACUAAUAUAUUAAAAGACGCCMGAUAUAUCAAAGAAUAGUAAUUUAGAACUAAUUACUUUAGGGAUAACAGCAUAAUAAUUUUGGGAAGCUCUUAUAAAUAAAGUUGUUUAUGACCUCGAUGUUGAAUUAAAAUUUAAAUAGGAGGAGAAAAUUAUUUUUAUAGAUUUGUUCAAUCUGUAAUUUUUACUUGAUUU